CUGGGUAGGCGCUCUGGUGCUCACUGAGAAAGCUUCCUUAGGUGUACCGAUCUUAAUGAUUGAGCCCUUGGAGCAGCAAGAUUGUUGAUCUUGGUUGCUCCUUUGGCCUGUCUAUCCCUUACCUUCCUAUUACAUAUGAACUUUUCUUCGUUCUGCACAUCGAUUGUCGUCGGCGUCGUGGAGAUCGUCGUGGUGCUCCGGUGGUGGUCUUCGUCCGCUUAGAAUAGUGUAGUUAGUUAGGGGCCUUCAAAGAAGAAAGAAGAAGCGAUUGGCGCGGAGAUGCUGGAGGUGUCAGUUACUAUGCUAGAGUAGGGUAGUGAAACAAUCCCCAGCCAAACCUUUCCGGGGGGCGCAGGUUGCCCACAGGAGGUCGACUUGCCGGCGCUGUCCUUCGCGCCGAGCUCCCUCCAUCCUUCGUUCCGUCUGCUGAGACGCAAGGUUGCGGCGCGCAGCGCUGAGCAGCGCACUGACUGCCGCGGGCUCCGCUGGGCGAUUGCAGCCGAGUCCGUUUCUCGUCUAGCUGCCGCCGCGGCGACCUGCCUGGUCUUCCUCCCGGACGCUAGCGGGUUGUCAACUAUUACCUGCAAGCAUAGGCCAACGAACACCUUCUUUCCAAAUUAAUUGGAAUGAAACAAUUCUUUUAACUUCCUAAUUCUCAGUUUGAAACUCUGGUUGCUUAAGCCUGAAGCAAUCAUGGUGAACCUUGGCAACGCGGUGCGCUCGCUCCUGAUGCACCUAAUCGGCCUAUUGGUUUGGCAAUUCGAUAUUUCCAUAAGUCCAGUAGCAGCUAUAGUAACUGACACUUUUAAUUCCUCCGAUGGUGGACGCUUGUUUCAAUUCCCGGACGGGGUACAAAACUGGCCAGCACUUUCAAUCGUCGUGAUUAUAAUCAUGACAAUAGGGGGCAACAUUCUUGUUAUCAUGGCAGUAAGCAUGGAGAAGAAACUGCACAAUGCAACCAAUUACUUCUUAAUGUCCCUAGCCAUUGCUGAUAUGCUGGUGGGACUACUUGUCAUGCCCCUGUCCCUGCUUGCU